rnacentral:lncRNA from 1 species
GCUGGUUGCCGUAAGGGAGAGAGGCGACAGUUGAAAUCUUUUCUUUCGCCAAAAGCAUGUCGAAAAGAAAGGCAGCAGUCUAUUAUAUCUGAGGACGUGAGGCGAAUAGGAAUAGGCUGGUUCUGCCUUGUUACGUCACCUGUUCCUGACAGACUGCGAGAUUUGUGCGUUCCAUUCAACAACGAAUAAGCAGCCUAAACGAAAAUCUAGCAUAUUCCCAAUUAUAUUGAGAAACAUAACAAGAACUAUUUACUGAACAAAUCGCAUCAAGGAGAAUAUAAUAUUAUGGAAUAACUGACAGUGAGCAUGGAUAUCUGUUUGUGUAUGGCUAUGUGCGAAAGAAAUCAAGAGCACCGGUAAUCGGAAGAACUAUGGAUGAGUGGACUCUAGUGAAAGAAAGAUGCCGAGUGUGCGAUAUAACAAAGGAACACUGGUGAGCUGACCGUGCAUGGGGGAAACGAAUGGCGUGAACGUAGCAAACGACUGACUUUCGAUUUUUUAAACGACACGAUAUACACUUCGCAUUUAUUCCUACAAACGAUGCAACAAUUUUAAUAAUAUAUAUUAUAAAGAUAUUGGCCAUCAGCGAAAGGACUGAAGUACGGUGCUUGGCGUUCUACAUUGUAUAUACUGCAACAUAUUGCGUUCAUCGCAAGAGUGUAUAACCUCAAAGGACAAGUGGUCGAUCGAUAAGUUAAGACCAAGAUCAAAGCGUUAGAGUGUUGGCAUCGAAGGAAGCGUGCAAUUAAAACUCGUAAUGAUAAAUUACAUGGACUACAAGAAAGCAGGUGGAAGCGUGCUUCAAGAAACUUGGACCACAAGCUGAUAUAAUGUGGCAACGUUAGCUGAACUUCGACCAAGUCGACGAGUAAUCUUGUAAUCAAAAGUCCAGGCGUACGAAGAGAAUUUAAUCAAACUCAGACACACCUCAGUCCAGUCUCGUUUCGAACUAAAUGGAAGCUACGUUCCGGCACUUCGAGGUGUCUUCUUACUGACGUUGCAUUACGCCUGUUGUUGAUUCAAGUUGAUGGAGACUACAUUAAGGUAUUUCAGCGUAUUUCAUGGAAUGAUAUUACAUAAAUUUCUUUGAAGAUUUUAGAUAGAUAGUGAUAUAAGUAUUAUUACAGAUAAU